rnacentral:rRNA from 1 species
GUGGGGAAUAUUGGACAAUGGGCGAAAGCCUGAUCCAGCCAUGCCGCGUGUGUGAAGAAGGUCUUCGGAUUGUAAAGCACUUUAAGUUGGGAGGAAGGGCAAUAAGUUAAUACCUUGCUGUUUUGACGUUACCGACAGAAUAAGCACCGGCUAACUUCGUGCCAGCAGCCGCGGUAAUACGAAGGGUGCAAGCGUUAAUCGGAAUUACUGGGCGUAAAGCGCGCGUAGGUGGUUUUGUAAGUUGGAGGUGAAAUCCCCGGGCUCAACCUGGGAACUGCCUCCAAAACUGCAUGACUAGAGUACGGUAGAGGGUAGUGGAAUUUCCUGUGUAGCGGUGAAAUGCGUAGAUAUAGGAAGGAACACCAGUGGCGAAGGCGACUACCUGGACUGAUACUGACACUGAGGUGCGAAAGCGUGGGGAGCAAACAGGAUUAGAAACCCUAGUAGUCC